UUUCUCCCCCAAAUCGCCGAUCCACUCCUCUUCCCCGACCCUUCCUCUGUUCUCUCUCGCGGACGAACCGAACCCAGUGGACUUCCGGCAAUCGUCGACGUCGACUGAGGCCUCGUCGCCGGAGCUUGCCAGAGAUCGAAGAAGGGGGCCGGAUCAUCUUGAUCUCCUCUUCUCCACCCUUCCCCAACGCCGACACCAAGGGAGAUGAUCGCCGGAAUGAAGAGGCAAUUAGGGCUCCGAGGCUAGCUCCGAUUUCUUCUUCUCUGGAUGUUCACUGAUCUGUGCCCUAGCACGGUCUGCGUUUCCCCGAUCGAUGCCAUUGGAUCAAGCCAGAUCCACCGAUCGCCGGUGUAGAGAGGGAGUUAGGGCUUCAAUGGGUCAGGUCAUGGAUCGUUUGAGUGGAUCUUGGAUUCCUCUGCCGGAGCUAGGUCUUGGCAGACGCUGGCUAGUUGAGGGUCAGUAGAUUCAAUACAUUGCAUUAUGGAUUGGAUUAGGUGACACUUUCUGGAGGCAACCGAUCGAGUACUUGGACUUUCUCUUCUCCACUGUGAUUGAGGUCUCGGUUGAAGUGGAGAAGAAUCCCAGCAGUCAAUAGGUUCUGAUCAGUGAGGUGUGCUCAAGAUUUCAGCAAGGUUGAGUGCUGUGAACUUUCUUGGGUUCCAACAGCAACUACCCUAACUGCCAGCAACAUCUUGGGUGGUGAUCUACUGGUGAUCACCUUGGAUUUGGGUAAGUUUUUGGAGGUCAAUUGUUACCUUGUUUUAAUGAUACGAAUUAGGGUUAUAUUUAGUUGGUUAUGUGUAGAUUUAGGUAUGAUUUGGAUUACAUGAUUACUAGAGGUUGUAAUUAGUUGUUGAUUGUGAUUAGAUUAAUUGCUUAGAUUUAACCUAAGGGGAUGAUUAGGGUUAAGGUAAUUAACCCUAGUCAAUCGUUGGAUUUUAAUCUAAUGGGUUAUUAGGGAUUAGGUAACUAACCCUAAUUGACCGUUAGAUUUUUAUUAGGUAGAUUUAGGUUGUGUUGA